rnacentral:lncRNA from 1 species
UUUGCUUGUUGAAGCUGUUUUAUGUGUAGAAAUAAAGCAAUCACUUGAGGAAGCCAGUCCAUGAUUACUGAAACUCCAUUUACUGAAGGAAUCUGUCUGAGAAACCCAAAAGGAUUCUAUUUAUCUAAGACUAUGAAAUCUUACUCUGUGAUAAUUAUUGAACAACUGGUGCCACCCUCAAAGCCAUUCUCUCUGAAAUGCUUUCUUACAUGGAGGGAAGAUUGAGGUAUCCAACCAAAAUGGGUUGGCUUUAAAAGUCUGAUUGUCAAACUCAAAAC